rnacentral:misc_RNA from 1 species
UAAUAAGUGUUUUAUGGCACUUUUUAAAUCCAUAUCCACCUUGUGUGCAAUGUCAGUCGAUCUUCUUCAUGGAGAUCGACCAAACAUCAACCUUUAUCUUUUAACUCUUUGUCUGAAAAAUAUUAUGAUAAACAAUUCAAAAUA